GCCUGCUCAGUGGUGAAGCCUAUCACAGCAGCUGGCUGGACAAGGCACCUUCCACACUGAAGUGCCUUAUAAUGUUAUUUUGUGGCAAAAAGCAGCAGAUCAGGUUUGUCUUUCUCCUGGAUUUUGAAGCACACUUUCUUCAAAUGGAUCCUGCUUUCUUAUGAAAAGGAGUGCUGAAGUGUAUUCUUUUUUCUGGUUGUCCUUUCAACAAACUGUUCAGGGGCACAGGCUUUCAGAUACAGCAACAUGUAUUGAAGAUGCACACACAUACAUACACACCCCAGCAUUUUAAACCCCAACUUUUAAUGUUUGGGUUUUCUUCUGAUAGCAACAAUGCAGAAGAAAGCAGUGCUUUGUUUGGGGCAAGGAUGCACAACAUUUUUGAAGCUUGUCAAGCCACAACAGCCAGCUCAUCCCUGGAGUGCCACCAGCAUGCCCAGCACCACCUAGCAGAGGGACAUGCAUGAAAUGCAUGGCGUAUCUGCCAUAAGAAGCAGAAAUUCAUUGCUCGCAACCUGGCCGAGAAGCUGAGGGGUGGUGACUUCACUGUGGAAGCUAAAACAUAUGCAAAAAUAAAUAAAUGCUACCUAGAAAGAAAAGCUUUGAGGUCUUGUUAUAGUCUUAAACAAUAGCGUCUUUCAAUAGUUUGGGUCCCGUUACACUGAACUUUAGCUUGAUUUCACCUUCUACCAAUCAAACUUUUUGUCCUACCUCUCAAACCCCCUUGGGAUACAAUUCCUGUCCUGUCAUCAUAUUUAAAGGUUACUGUCACUCCAUCACCAGGGGCAUCCUCAGUCACCUGAAUCUCCACUUCUCCCACGAGCCCAUGUUUGCCCUCUGUACUUCUCCCUUUACCAUCAGAAAAAUCUCUUUCAUUAUUCAUGAAAGCUGCUUUCACUCACCCACCUCAAAGCGUGCUUUCCCCACAGACUACCUGGAAUAAACAAUCUGAGGAAGGAUGGUCAUGCAGCAAGAUGGUGCUUCCACUCCCACAAGAGGAAAAGGGGGUUCACACUGCCCCUCUUCCUGUUUCCUUUUGUUUUCCACAUCACAUAUCCUUGAAGACCAAGACUAUGACUUUCUACAUGUGACGCUGCAUGGGACCUCUGCCAUGACUGGCUUAACUAAGUGCCACUGAAUGAAAAUACUAGAAGCAGUACAUUUCUGAUAAUGAGACUUAUGAAAAAACUCCCCUUGCCUUUUAUAAUCACCUUACUAUAUGGAUCUAAAUUAUACUAAGAAUUUAUAUUUUCUUUCACCAGAGUUUGUGAAAAACUGCAGAAUUUAGAGUUACAAUGGACACUGCUAU